rnacentral:rRNA from 1 species
UACGUAGGGCGCAAGCGUUAUCCGGAAUUACUGGGCGUAAAGAGCUCGUAGGUGGUUUGUCGCGUUGUCCGUGAAAACUCACAACUCAAUUGUGGGCGUGCGGGCGAUACGGGCAGACUGGAGUACUGCAGGGGAGACUGGAAUUCCUGGUGUAGCGGUGGAAUGCGCAGAUAUCAGGAGGAACACCGGUGGCGAAGGCGGGUCUCUGGGCAGUAACUGACGCUGAGGAGCGAAAGCAUGGGGAGCGAACAGG